UACGAAGGGUGCAAGCGUUACUCGGAAUUACUGGGCGUAAAGCGUGCGUAGGUGGUGAGUUAAGUCUGUCGUGAAAGCCCCGGGCUCAACCUGGGAAUGGCGAUGGAUACUGGCUCGCUAGAGUGCGGUAGAGGAGAGUGGAAUUCCCGGUGUAGCAGUGAAAUGCGUAGAGAUCGGGAGGAACACCAGCGGCGAAGGCGGCAUCCUGGACUGGUCCUGACACUCAUGAGCGAAAGCGUGGGGAGCGAUCCGG
rnacentral:rRNA from 1 species